rnacentral:lncRNA from 1 species
AGAUAUAUAUGCAAUCCAUAUAUAUGCAAUCCAUAUAGUCUAUAUUAUGUAAAUAAUAGUUCAACUAAUCCUUUACUAGUAGUAAAAGGUUAGUUAAACAGCUAAGUUUACAUGGAUAGUUAAUAUGCUUUUAUAAAUUGCAAUUUUUAUUAAUUUUUAAAUUAAACAUGUGGCAUCCAAUAUCAUAAACUAAGUUUAUACUGGUGUGUUUAAAUUAUUUUAAAAUUUUCUAUUUUAGACACAUGGCAUUUGUUAUCCCAUUGUAAGUUAAAACUAGUUGUAAAAUUAAAAAAUUUUUAUUGGAACUUCUAUUUCUUUUAACAUUCAUGUUUAUUUAAUUUAGUUACAACUAAGGUUAUAUAUGAGUAAUUUAUACUAUUUUACAACUUGCUGCUUUAGAGGCAAGGCAUUUAGUGUCACAUUGUAGGUUUAAGUUGGUUGUAGAAUUUAUACUGUAACUUUUGCAUUUAUUUAGUUAAGUUUCAACUAAGUUUACAUCUGAUGUGUUUGUAUUAUUUUAGAAUUUGCUGUUUUAGACACGUGGCAUGUGGUAUCCCACUAUACUUGGUAUAUGCUGUCAUACUAAUUCACUGUUUUAGACACGUGGCUUGUGAUAUCCCACUAAUUAGCUAUUUUAAACAUGUGACAAGUGGUAUGACCCUAGACCUUAUUUUUUGCUCCUGACAGGUAUUGAUGUAUGUGAAAUGUCUUUCAGUUAUCAGAUAGUGUCAAGGAGUUGACAGUAUGGUGUCUGAUUUGAACCUGUGAUGGUGUCCGAUUUGAACCUGUAGAGAAGUAACAACAAUAUUCAAAACCAAAACCUAUUUAAACCAACCAAACCAAAACUAUCGACCAAAAACUAAUAUCUUGGCAUUGAUUUAUAUUAAACAUCUAUUAUAUAUAUGCGUGUGUUUUAUAUAAAUGUACUAGCUUGAGUAUAGUGUAUUUAAAAUAUUUUUUUCAACUAUUUUUAUUGAUGUUAUACUUAGUAUAAUGUAUUGUUAGUAUUUUAUAUACUUAGUAUUGUAAUAUACUUAGUAUUUUAUUGUAGUAUAGCUUCAGUAUAGUGUAUCUAAAAUAUUUUUUUUUCAACUAUUUUUAUUGUAAUUUAAAGUAUUUUGGAUUAAAUAUUAUAAA